rnacentral:lncRNA from 1 species
UUAACCACUUAACCGACUGAGCCACCCAGGCGCCCCUCUUCUUGAAUGUUUAAAAAAUUAAAAUUCCAAGGUAAUUGAAUGUAGUGAUUCAAGAUAUUCUUUGUCCUUUGUUUUGUUUUGUUUUGUUUGUGUUCAUCAGUGUAGGAUCUGAUGACAUAUGACUUACGGACUGAAAAAGAGUGAUUUCUGUAGACAUUUGUCACAUAGUGGGGAGGAUUGAGAACAAUGACAUCAUGUACUACUACCUAGCACUAACCAUUGGUACCAUCCUGGUCUAAGAGGUGGGUCCAGAUAGACUCUCUAGCAAUGAAAGUAGAUAGUCUCAAGAGGUUAUACUUUAUAAAACCAGAAUCACUAAAAUCACUAAAAUCUUUCAUACUUACCUGCAAUUGGAAAGAAGGCCAGAGAGAGUCUGUUGGUUAUGUUUCGCCAUGCUAAAUAGUACAGUGGGUAUAGACCAAACUUUGUGAUAACAUGUUUCAUCCUAAACUUAACAGUCUCUGCUGAAGAGCUGGAGAAGUUCUGUUGUGUUACAGCAAAAUAAAUAUAGUCUUGUUUAACUGCUCCUAGUAGUGGAAGUCCAGAAGAAUCAUGUUAUUUAAGUUUGACAUUGUCAGUCUAUGAUAAUGAUUCUGCUAAUGAGAGCACUUUCUGUCAGUCUCAUAGGGUUUGGUUACAAGGUAUCACAUUCUGAUAAAUACCAUUCUCUUCUUGCAUUUGGUAAAUGUAGAGGAGAAAGUAAGAUUUCUUAAUUAACUGCCUACCAAUAAUGUAAUUAAAACUCGUUCCAGUGUGGUUUCCAGGUAUGGUCUUGAAGGAAUACUUUUUUAACAAAUCAUCAGUCUUAUACUUUUAAUAUUCUUAACAAAUCAUCAGUCUUACAUUUUUAAUAUUCUGUAUUUUCCUAUUGUUGAUUUAAAAUAUAUUUUGCUUUUCUCUUUAGUGGCGGAUAAGAUUUCUGAAGAAGAGUCUUUAAGCAGUAUUUCCAUUAAACCUGGUACUGAUGAUUCAUGGCUUACAUCAGAUGCUGAAGACUUAAAUUUUGGUAUCCAGGAAGGAGAGGUGCAGCUGGCAAUUGGAAAACAGGAUGAUGGUAUUAGUAUUACUGAAAGUGCUCCACAAGAGCAGUUAACGACAGUCUGACUUCUGCUGAUAGAGCAUACAAAAGUAAUAGUAGUGGUAAGUUAGUAAACAUCUAUAAAUUUUUUCCUAUGCUCAAAUGCUAGUAUAAGAAAAUCUGAAAGUAUGUAGAUCCAGAUAUAUUACGCAUUUCAUUAACAUAUUUUUCUUUUGCUGUCUUUCUUAUUAAGUAUCCUGACUACUACCAACUUUUUCUUCCUGAAAAUAAUUCCACCUCUGAAAAUCUUUACUGCUAUGAAAUAUUCAUGAGUGGGGAUAAGCUUGUACAUAUGUUUAAAAUUCAUAAUCAUGUUUCAUUAAUGUAUC